rnacentral:rRNA from 1 species
UUCCAGACUCCUACGGGAGGCAGCAGUGAGGAAUAUUGGUCAAUGGGCGAGAGCCUGAACCAGCCAAGUCGCGUGAGGGAGUACUGCCCUAUGGGUUGUAAACCUCUUUUGUCGGGGAGCAAAAGCCGGACGUGUCCGGCUGUGAGAGUACCCGAAGAAAAAGCAUCGGCUAACUCCGUGCCAGCAGCCGCGGUAAUACGGAGGGUGCGAGCGUUAAUCGGAAUUACUGGGCGUAAAGCGCUCGUAGGCGGUAUGUCAAGUCAAGGGUGAAAUCCCCGCGCUCAACGUGGGAACUGCCUUUGAAACUGGCAAACUGGAGUGUGUGAGAGGAUAGUGGAAUUCCAGGUGUAGGAGUGAAAUCCGUAGAUAUCUGGAGGAACAUCAGUGGCGAAGGCGACUAUCUGGCACAUAACUGACGCUGAGGAGCGAAAGCGUGGGUAGCAAACAGGAUUAGAUACCCCAGUA